rnacentral:rRNA from 1 species
CUUUUUCGUAAGGGAACGAGCAAGCACGGGUAGCAGCCUGGUGGCGAGUGGCGAACGGGUGUGUAAUACAUCGGAACGUGCCCUGUCGUGGGGGAUAACUAUUCGAAAGAUUAGCUAAUACCGCAUACGACCUGAGGGUGAAAGCGGGGGACCGCAAGGCCUCGCGCGAUAGGAACGGCCGAUGUCUGAUUAGCUAGUUGGUGGGGUAAAGGCCCACCAAGGCGACCAUCAAUAGCUGGUCUGAGAGGACGAUCAGCCACACUGGGACUGAGACACGGCCCAGACUCCUACGGGAGGCAGCAUUGGGGAAUUUUGGACAAUGGGGGCAACCCUGAUCCAGCAAUGCCGCGUGUGUGAAGAACGCCUUCGGGUUGUAAAGCACUUUUGUCCGGAAAGAAAUCCCUUGCCCUAAUACGGCGGGGGGAUGACGGUACCGGAAGAAUGGGCACCGGCUAACUACCUGCCAACAGCCGCGGUAGUACGGAGAAAUGCGAGCGUUAAUCGAAUUUACUGGGCGUAAAGCGUGCGCAGGCGGUUUUGUAAGACAGGCGUGAAAUCCCCGAGCUCAACUUGGGAAUGGCGCUUGUGACUGCAAGGCUAGAGUAUGUCAGAGGGGGGUAGAAUUCCACGUGUAGCAGUGAAAUGCGUAGAGAUGUGGGAGGAAUACCGAUGGCGUAAGGCAUCCCCCUGGGACGUCACUGACGCUCAUGCACGAAAGCGUGCGGAGCAACAGGAUUAGAUUACCCUGGUAGUCCACGCCCUAACGAUGACAACUAGUUGUUGGAGAUUCUUUCUUUCGUAACUUAACUUACUCUUGAAGUUGAACAGCUGGGGAUUACUGUCGCAAGAUUAAAACGCGUGGAGUGACGGGACCCGCCAGCGGGAAUGAUGUGGAUUAAUUCGAUGCACGCGAGACCUUACUACCCUAUGAACAUUCCACCUACGAGGCAAGGAUGCUUCGGGCCGGAAAGGGGAAUUGGUACCAGGGAGGCUGCAUGGCUUGUACGUCAACUACUUGUC